rnacentral:rRNA from 1 species
AGUGAACGCUGGCGGUAGGCCUAACACAUGCAAGUCGAACGGCAGCACAGUAAGAGCUUGCUCUUACGGGUGGCGAGUGGCGGACGGGUGAGGAAUACAUCGGAAUCUACUUUUUCGUGGGGGAUAACGUAGGGAAACUUACGCUAAUACCGCAUACGGCCUACGGGUGAAAGCAGGGGAUCUUCUGACCUUGCGCGAUUGAAUGAGCCGAUGUCGGAUUAGCUAGUUGGCGGGGUAAAGGCCCACCAAGGCGACGAUCCGUAGCUGGUCUGAGAGGAUGAUCAGCCACACUGGAACUGGGACACGGUCCAGAGUCCUACGGGAGGCAGCAGUGGGGAAUAUUGGACAAUGGGCGCAAGCCUGAUCCAGCCAUACCGCGUGGGUGACGAAGGCCUUCGGGUUGUAAAGCCCUUUUGUUGGGAAAGAAAAGCAGCAGGUUAAUACCCCGCUGUUCUGACGGUACCCAAAGAAUAAGCACCGGCUAACUUCGUG